UCCUGGAGCCCAAAGUGACCUUCUGGCCAGAAAAGGCCUGGCCACACUGUUCUGAUGACCGCUGUUUAUUUCUAUAUAGGAAAUAUGGGCAUCUCCUUCCGCCCUAAACCACCUACAUGGACUUAGAAGAGAUUUUCUUUGAUAUGUCAGUGACUUGGCUGCUGGCUUCCUGCCUAGCUAUCCCACCUUGGACCAGAAGCCUCUGCUGUGAAGCAUCUUGUUUUAAGUGGUUCACCUUGAAGCUGCUCUGGAACCCAACCUGAGACAGCUGGCCUCAGACACGGCCUUAGGAAGCCUGAGGACGCGACUCUGGAGUUGGCUGGCUUGCUGGCUGGAUGGCAGAGAGGACCCCACAGCUGAAG